CCUACGGGAGGCAGCAGUGAGGAAUAUUGGUCAAUGGGCGUAAGCCUGAACCAGCCAAGUCGCGUGAGGGAUGAAGGUUCUAUGGAUCGUAAACCUCUUUUAUAAGGGGAUAAAGUGUGGGACGUGUCCUAUUUUGUAUGUACCUUAUGAAUAAGGAUCGGCUAACUCCGGGCCAGCAGCCGCGGUAAGACGGAGGAUCCGAGCGUUACCCGGAUUUAUUGGGUUUAAAGGGUGCGUAGGCGGCCUUUUAAGUCAGCGGUGAAAGUCUGUGGCUCAACCAUGGAAUUGCCGUUGAAACUGGGCGGCUUGAGUGUUGUUGAGGCAGGCGGAAUGCGUGGUGUAGCGGUGAAAUGCUUAGAGAUCACGCAGAACCCCGAUGGCGAAGGCAGCCUGCCAAGCCAUGACUGACGCUGAUGCGCGAAAGCGUGGGGAUCAAACAGGAUUAGAUACCCCUGUAGUC
rnacentral:rRNA from 1 species